GACCUACUUAGCCAGCAAAGCUGAACCAGUCAGUCAGCCAAGCAGCAGCGUCUCUCGCUCAAUGACGCAACUGAUGUGCUCACCCAUACCACAGCCCAUCAAGAGCGGAGAAACUGAAACGGAGACUGAGACAGAGACAGUGACAUAGAGCGAAACCGAGAGAAUCCCCAAGAGAAAGAGACGACGUGUUGUAAUACCAGAGCAUCCAAAACUAGGCCUUAACUUAUCUACAUACCAUAUCAUCAUACAAAAUGUAUCUAUUGACUAUUGAGCGUGCGGUUGCUACUAU
ensembl:ncRNA lncRNA:CR45938 long non-coding RNA:CR45938